rnacentral:rRNA from 1 species
GAUGAACGCUGGCGGCGUGCCUAAUACAUGCAAGUCGAGCGAACAGACGAGGAGCUUGCUCCUCUGACGUUAGCGGCGGACGGGUGAGUAACACGUGGAUAACCUACCUAUAAGACUGGGAUAACUUCGGGAAACCGGAGCUAAUACCGGAUAAUAUAUUGAACAGCAUGGUUCAAUAGUGAAAGACGGUUUUGCUGUCACUUCUAGAUGGAUCCGCGCCGCAUUAGCUAGUUGGUAAGGUAACGGCUUACCAAGGCAACGAUGCGUAGCCGACCUGAGAGGGUGAUCGGCCACACUGGAACGGAGACACGGUCCAGACUCCUACGGGAGGCAGCAGUAGGGAAUCUUCCGCAAUGGGCGAAAGCCUGACGGAGCAACGCCGCGUGAUGGAUGAAGGUCUUCGGAUCGUAAAACUCUGUUAUUAGGGAAGAACAAAUGUGUAAGUAACUAUGCACGUCUUGACGGUACCUAAUCAGAAAGCCACGGCUAACUACGUG